ACGGGACACGUGAAACCCUGUGGGAAGCAGGAGGGACCACCCUCCAAGGCUAAAUACUACCUAGUGACCGAUAGCGUAUAGUACCGCGAGGGAAAGGUGAAAAGAACCCCGGGAGGGGAGUGAAAUAGAACCUGAAACCCUGCACUUACAAGCUGUGGAAGCACAUUUCUUGUGUGACCGCGUACUUUUUGUAGAACGGGCCAACGUGUUACGU
rnacentral:rRNA from 1 species